CCAGACUCCUACGGGAGGCAGCAGUGGGGAAUAUUGGACAAUGGACCGAGAGUCUGAUCCAGCAAUUCUGUGUGCACGAUGAAGUUUUUCGGAAUGUAAAGUGCUUUCAGUUGGGAAGAAAUAAAUGACGGUACCAACAGAAGAAGUGACGGCUAAAUACGUGCCAGCAGCCGCGGUAAUACGUAUGUCACAAGCGUUAUCCGGAUUUAUUGGGCGUAAAGCGCGUCUAGGUGGUUAUGUAAGUCUGAUGUGAAAAUGCAGGGCUCAACUCUGUAUUGCGUUGGAAACUGUGUAACUAGAGUACUGGAGAGGUAAGCGGAACUACAAGUGUAGAGGUGAAAUUCGUAGAUAUUUGUAGGAAUGCCGAUGGGGAAGCCAGCUUACUGGACAGAUACUGACGCUGAAGCGCGAAAGCGUGGGUAGCAAACAGGAUUAGAUACCCUGGUAGUCCACGCCGUAAACGAUGAUUACUAGGUGUUGGGGGUCGAACCUCAGCGCCCAAGCAAACGCGAUAAGUAAUCCGCCUGGGGAGUACGUACGCAAGUAUGAAACUCAAAGGAAUUGACGGGGGCCCGCACAAG
rnacentral:rRNA from 1 species